rnacentral:lncRNA from 1 species
AGAGAGGCACUGAGCUACUCUGCGGCUGAGCAUGUACCAUGUUGGGCAGCAUUUAAGACUACAGAGGAAAGCAAAGCCAGGUUGAGUGGGAUAGGAAGGAUAUGGAAUGGGGUGGGGAUCUCGCUGUGUCUUAUAGGGAAGUCAAGGAAACAAAGCUGAUUGGAUGAUCAAUGAGCAGAAACUUGAAGAAAUGUUGUGGUUAUUGGAAGAAAAGUUGCCAGACACCUGGGGACUUGGAGGACCUCUUAAGGACCCAGGCUUAGCAGGGAAAAGUGGGAAGAUGCUGGAAGGCCUUGGUUAGAAGAGUACAGUGAACUCCCUUGAGUUUUAUGAGAAUCACUUUGGUCAUUAUGAGGAAAAGCAGAUUUAAGGGGAAAAGGGUGGACACUGGGAGACCAUGGGUGUCUACCAAGGGUGGGGCUUCCUGCAUGGACCCAGAGGAGACCACAGGGGUGCUUGAGGGCUACAGGGUGACUCCAUUUGCUUACCUUACGCGUGUGUUUGUACUUUCCCCACCAGAAUCCAAAUCUCAUUUGAGCAGGUAUGCUAACUGUUGCUUCUUUAGUCCUUCCAUAAACCCUUGACUUAGAUGGAUAAGCAAAGCAGGACAGCACAGCCACAGUGAAAGAAGGGAGACCAGAGCUGCCGAGACAGUGAACCCCUCCAGCCCGUGGAGCGAAACACCUUCCCCCCAUCUCCUGGUUCUUUUAACGAUACCAGAGAUUGAUUCUGAAUUCUCUGAGCCAGAAGAAUUUAAGUCACUUUAUCUGUCUGAUAAAUAUACAUUACACACCACUUUGAAUUUCAGAUGGUGAGAGGUCAGUGAACACCCAAGAAAGACUAAAAAAAAUCAAUUGACUUAUAAUUUGUUCUUUCUCUCACUUUUAUCUUUGUGUCAUGUGCCUCAGGAAAAAAAUCCCAUUGGUGACUACUUGUUUUACUUUUGUUAAAAUUUAAAAAUUUUUUUACGGUUGUGCAUCGGCGGCAUAAGAAAAUUCCUGGGCCAGUGGUCAAACGCGUGUCACAGCAGUGAUCCAGACUACAGCAGGGACAGCACUGGGUCCUUAACCCGCUAGGCCACCAGCAAGCUCCAAUGAUUCCUUGUUUUAGUGUCUUCUCCUUACUGUCAUUCUCCUUACUGAUAUUAUCGAUAAUAUAUGGAUAACAUAAAAUUUAUCAUCUUAACUGUUCUUAAGAGUGCAUUUUAUUAGUGUGAGUAUUGUCCUGUUGUUGUACAGGCUUUAGUUUCUUUUCCUGUUAAUUCUGGUAGGGCUAGAAGCCCUAUUGAGUUCCUGAUUAUCUCCUAGCUGUCUACUGUCUUCCUAUUAGUAUCUGUGAAACUAUAGUUUAAGAAACUUCCUUUUUGUCUCCUGGUCCGAAAAUAACCUUCUUCCAUGGGUGUUAGUUGUCAUCCUGUUCUCUGCAAGGAAACCUCCACUGCCUUUAAGUUUCUUUUUAUAAUGUAGUUCAAGAGCACAAGGACACGUACGUGCUUAGUGGCAAAUGCAUGGAAAACCUGACCUACUCCAGCUCUCUCUUCAUGGCCCCAUGUUACCCCUUCUGGAUCUGCUUCUUUCCCCCUGGUAGGCAUUUUCUCUUCGACUUCAUCAUCAGUUAACAAUGAUUGAGGUGUUCCCUGGUGGUACAGCAGGUUAAGGAUCAGGUUCAAUCCCUGUCCUGUCCUGGGAAUUUCCACAUGCACACUGCACACAGCCGAAAAAA